rnacentral:rRNA from 1 species
GACGAACGCUGGCGGCGCGCCUAACACAUGCAAGUCGAGCGAGAACCAGGGCUUCGGCUCUGGGGACAGCGGCGAACGGGUGAGUAACACGUGGGUAAUCUGCCCUCGGUAUCGGGAUAGCCCGGGGAACCCGGACUUAAUACCGAAUAGCCUCCGAAGCUCUCGGGCGGUCGGAGAAAAGGUAGGCUUCGGUCUUCCGACUGAGGAUGAGCCCGCCGGCGGAUUAGCUUGUUGGUGAGGUAACGGCUCACCAAGGCUACGAUCCGUAGCUGGUCUGAGAGGACGGAUCAGCCACACUGGGGACUGAGACACGGCCCAGACUCCUACGGGAGGCAGCAGUGGGGAAUCUUGCGCAAUGGGCGAAAGCCUGACGCAGCG